rnacentral:misc_RNA from 1 species
UACGAAGGGGGCUAGCGUUGUUCGGAAUCACUGGGCGUAAAGCGCGCGUAGGUGGACAUUCAAGUCAGAGGUGAAAUCCCAGGGCUCAACCCUGGAAUUGCCUUUGAAACUGUAUGUCUGGAGUCUCGGAGGGGGCAGGGGAAUUCCUAGUGUAGAGGUGAAAUUCGUAGAUACUAGGAGGAACACCGGCGGCGAAGGCGCCUGCCUGGACGAGUACUGACGCUGAGGUGCGAAAGCGUGGGGAGCAAACAGG